AAGGAGUCUAACAUAUAUGCAAGUAGAAAAGUGGUUAAAACUUGAAUGCAUAAUGAAAGUAACUUUUAAAAGUGGGAUAUUUUCUUUAUUGGAAAUUGCACCAUUGACCAAUCUAGAGAUUUUUCGAUAGAUUUGAGUGAGAGCAUAUCUGUUGGGACCCGAAAGACAGUGAACUAUGCCUGAGUAGGGUAAAGUCAGAGGAAACUCUGAUGGAGGCUCGUAGCGAUACUGACGUGCAAAUCGUUCGUCAAACUUGGGUAUAGGGGCGAAAGACUAAUCGAACUGUCUAGUAGCUGGUUCCCUC
rnacentral:sRNA from 1 species